rnacentral:rRNA from 1 species
CGCGGCCUAUCAGCUUGUUGGUGAGGUAAUAGCUCACCAAGGCAUCGACGGGUAGCUAGUCUGAGAGGACGAUCAGCCACACUGGGACUGAGACACGGUCCAGACUCCUACGGGAGGCAGCAGUAGGGAAUCUUGCACAAUGGGCGAAAGCCUGAUGCAGCGACGCCGCGUGGGGGAUGAAGGCCUUCGGGUUGUAAACCCCUUUCAGUAGGGACGAAAAUGACGGUACCUACAGAAGAAGCUCCGGCCAACUACGUGCCAGCAGCCGCGGUAACACGUAGGGAGCAAGCGUUGUCCGGAUUUAUUGGGCGUAAAGAGCUCGUAGGUGGUUCCGUAAGUCGGAUGUGAAAACUCAAGGCUCAACCUUGAGACGCCAUCCGAUACUGCGGUGACUUGAGUUCGGUAGAGGAGUGUGGAAUUCCUGGUGUAGCGGUGAAAUGCGCAGAUAUCAGGAGGAACACCGACAGCGAAGGCAGCACUCUGGGCCGAUACUGACACUGAGGAGCGAUAGCAUGGGGAGCAAACAGGAUUAGAAACCCUGGUAGUCCAUGCCGUAAACGUUGGGCACUAGGUGUGGAGAUUUAUCAACGAUUUCCGCGCCGUCGCUAACGCAUUAAGUGCCCCGCCUGGGGAGUACGGA